UCGCACCUACCGAUUGAAUGAUUCGGUGAAGCUUUCGGACUGCACCAUUGGCCUCGGCUAGUGGAGUGGGAAGUUAUCUAAACCUCAUCAUUUAGAGGAAGGUG
rnacentral:rRNA from 1 species